rnacentral:rRNA from 1 species
UACGUAGGGUGCAAGCGUUACUCGGAAUUACUGGGCGUAAAGCGUGCGCAGGCGGUCUUGCAAGACAGAUGUGAAAUCCCCGGGCUUAACCUGGGAACUGCAUUUGCGACUGCAAGGCUGGAGUACGGCAGAGGGGGAUGGAAUUCCGCGUGUAGCAGUGAAAUGCGUAGAUAUGCGGAGGAACACCGAUGGCGAAGGCAAUCCCCUGGGCCUGUACUGACGCUCAUGCACGAAAGCGUGGGGAGCAAACAGG